rnacentral:rRNA from 1 species
GACGAACGCUGGCGGCGUGCUUAACACAUGCAAGUCGAACGGAAAGGCCCUGCUUUUGUGGGGUGCUCGAGUGGCGAACGGGUGAGUAUCACGUGAGUAACCUGCCCUUGACUUUGGGAUAACUUCAGGAAACUGGGGCUAAUACCGGAUAGGAGCUCCUGCUGCAUGGUGGGGGUUGGAAAGUUUCGGCGGUUGGGGAUGGACUCGCGGCUUAUCAGCUUGUUGGUGGGGUAGUGGCUUACCAAGGCUUUGACGGGUAGCCGGCCUGAGAGGGUGACCGGCCACAUUGGGACUGAGAUACGGCCCAGACUCCUACGGGAGGCAGCAGUGGGGAAUAUUGCACAAUGGGCGGAAGCCUGAUGCAGCAACGCCGCGUGCGGGAUGACGGCCUUCGGGUUGUAACCCGCUUUCGCCUGUGACGAAGCGUGAGUGACGGUAAUGGGUAAAGAAGCACCGGCUAACUACGUG